rnacentral:rRNA from 1 species
CGGUCUCGUAGAGAGGUUUGAGUCCUCGGCACAGGAGUGAACGGCCUGGCGGGCCGUAGGCCUACAACAUGCAAGUCGAACGGGCACGGCCGGUGCGGGCAGGGGGCCUCGGCCCCUCGCGGCGCCGCGCGAGUGGCGGACGGGUGAGUACGCGUGGGCAACCUGCCCUGUACUGGGGGAUAACACCUGGAAACAGGUGCUAAUACCGCAUAAGCGCGCUGUGCCGCAUGGCGCGGCGCGGAAAACCCCGGUGGUACAGGAUGGGCCCGCGUCUGAUUAGCUGGUUGGCAGGGUAACGGCCUACCCAAGGCGACGAUCAGUAGCCGGCCUGAGAGGGUGGACGGCCACACUGGGACUGAGACACGGCCCAGACUCCUACGGGAGGCAGCAGUGGGGGAUAUUGCACAAUGGGGGGAACCCUGAUGCAGCGACGCCGCGUGGGUGAAGGAGCGUUUCGGCGCGUAAAGCCCUAUCGGCAGGGAAGAAGAUGACGGUACCUGGCCAAGAAGCCCCGGCUAACUACGUG